GACUGCUUAAGUACCAAGCUAUUCCAGGAUCCAAUCCUAGACAUGCACACAUCCAUUACCACACUUUAAGCAGGUUACUUGUCUACGAACAUUAAAACAAGUUUAAGUCUGCUUAAAAUAUUUAUUUUCUUGGAAAAACAUUUACUUUGCGGAAACUUUGUGUGUCAUCGUGAUCUUUUAAAAACAAGUAGUUUUUAUAAAACAAACCCUAGUGCUAACCAGUUUAAUAAUCCCCAAAAUAAAAUUAGUUAAAAAGAGCGGC
rnacentral:lncRNA from 1 species